rnacentral:lncRNA from 1 species
CUUGCUCGCUACUUUCUAGGGUCUUAAUAGUAGUCAAGAAAAGGGAUCUGAGAAAAGUACUCUUUCAGGAGGGACUAGAAAGAGAAGGGGGUGAUAUGUUACACAAAUUAAAGAAGGAUGUCUUAGGCAUUUAGUAAAAAUUCAGUGGUUCCCCGCUAUCCUCGGGGGAUGUGUUUUUUUGUUUUGUUUUGUUUUGUUUUUUUUUGAGAUGAAGUUUCAUUCUAUCGCCCAGGCUGGAGUGCAAUGGCACAAUUUUGGCUCACUGCAACCUCCACCUCCCAGGUUCAAGCUAUUCUCCUGCCUCAGCCUCCUGAGUAGCUGGGACUACAGGUGUGCGCCACCAUGCCCGACUAAUUUUUGUAUUUUGAGUAGAGAUGGGAGUUUCACCAUGUUGGCCAGGCUGGUCUCGAACUCCUGACCUGGUGAUUUGCCCGCCUUGGCCUCCCAAAGUGCUGGGAUUACAGGCGUGAGUCACCACACCUGGCCCAUGGUGGGGGAUAUGUUUUAAGACCCCCAGUUAAUGCCUGAAACCGCUGCUAGUACCAAAC